rnacentral:rRNA from 1 species
GACGUAGGGCGCGAGCGUGUCCGGAUUUAUUGGGCGUAAAGAGCUCGUAGGCGGCUUGUUGCGUCGGCUGUGAAAACCCAUGGCUCAACCGUGGGCUUGCAGCCGAUACGGGCAGGCUAGAGUUCGGUAGGGGAGACUGGAAUUCCUGGUGUAGCGGUGAAAUGCGCAGAUAUCAGGAGGAACACCGGUGGCGAAGGCGGGUCUCUGGGCCGAUACUGACGCUGAGGAGCGAAAGCGUGGGGAGCGAACAGG